GGAUGGCAGAGGAUUAUGAAGGAAGGAGGGCAUAGGGAACAAGAACAUAGGUAGCAAUUAAAUUUAAGCUCGAAAAACAGACAAAACACAAAAAGCAAGAGGUCGAUAAGGACUUUGGUAAUCUGGGCCCUACUCCUCCUUUUUUUUUUAGAAAAUGGGGCCCAUUGCCAACUAAUCUCAACACUCUGCUGUCCCCUCGUGUGGGCU
rnacentral:lncRNA from 1 species